GAUGAACGCUGGCGGCGUGCCUAAUACAUGCAAGUCGAGCGAACGGACGAGAAGCUUGCUUCUCUGAUGUUAGCGGCGGACGGGUGAGUAACACGUGGAUAACCUACCUAUAAGACUGGGAUAACUUCGGGAAACCGGAGCUAAUACCGGAUGAUAUUUUGAACCGCAUGGUUCAAAGGUGAAAGACGGUCUUGCUGUCACUUAUAGAUGGAUCCGCGCUGCAUUAGCUAGUUGGUAAGGUAACGGCUUACCAAGGCAACGAUGCAUAGCCGACCUGAGAGGGUGAUCGGCCACACUGGAACUGAGACACGGUCCAGACUCCUACGGGAGGCAGCAGUAGGGAAUCUUCCGCAAAGGGCGAAAGCCUGACGGAGCAACGCCGCGUGAGUGAUGAAGGUCUUCGGAUCGUAAAACUCUGUUAUUAGGGAAGAACAUACGUGUAAGUAACUGUGCACAUCUUGACGGUACCUAAUCAGAAAGCCACGGCUAACUACGUG
rnacentral:rRNA from 1 species